rnacentral:rRNA from 1 species
CCCUGCCAUUUGUACACACCGCCCGUCGCUCCUACCGAUUGAAUGAUCCGGUGAAAUUUCGGGACCGUAGCGUUGCAGCUGGUUCGCCAGCAGCGAUGCCGCGGGAACUUACUUAAACCUUAUCAUUU